UGUAAUAAUAACUAUAUUUAAUUAUUAACUAAAUCAAUUGGUGCUUAAUCCAUCUAUCCACCCAUCCAGGAUGCUUUGUUCAAGUCCCUACUUGUACAGCUUCACUUAAUAUUUAAAUGUUUUAUGAUUUGAGGUAGAUAGCUAUCAUCAUUGCUUGAUCAAAACCCAUUCAGCUUUCUUCUCAUGUGUCACCCUGAUCUGUGGCCCUCCUCAUCACUCUGAGUAGAUGCUCAACUCAAUUUGCAUUUGAAAUACAGUCUUAUCACAGAUGCUUCUGUAGAAGAGAAACUUAAAAAGAAGAAAAACAGUAGAAUGUUUUUAAAAAGUUGUGGAAAUAGG
rnacentral:lncRNA from 1 species